rnacentral:rRNA from 1 species
AUUGAACGCUAGCGGGAUGCCUUACACAUGCAAGUCGAACGGAGUGGCGAACGGGUGAGUAAUGUAUCGGAACGUGCCCAGUAGCGGGGGAUAACUACGCGAACGCGUAGCUAAUACCGCAUACUAUUGGAGCGGCCGAUAUCGGAUGAGCUAGUUGGUGGGGUAACGGCUCACCAAGGCGAAGAGCCGGAGCGGGUUUGAUGGGACGACCAGCCACACGGGGACUGAGACACGGCCCAGACGCCUACGGGAGGCAGCAGUGGGGAAUUGUGGAAAAUGGGGGAAACCCUGAUCCAGCCAUCCCGCGUGUGCGAUGAAGGCCUGCGGGUUGUAAAGCACUUUUGGCAGGAAAGCGGUACCUGCAGAAUAAGCACCGGCUAACUACGUGCCAGCAGCCGCGGUAAUUC